UCUUCCAGGGGGCCGGGACUCACACUUCCUACUCGCUGCAGAGCAUACAUUACCAUCAGCACGAGGAAGAACUACAAGAACACACAUAUUGCAACAUCUCUUUCUGCUUCCAGUUGUGAAGGAACAAGGAAGAGGCGGGUCUCUGUGAACUGGGAGGAAACUGCUGCAAGGAGCCACAAACUGCCCCACAACAGGAUCCAGGACUAGGAGCAGAAACCUCUUCCUGUACCUGCAACACAAGGAGCAAUAGGAGACUUCAGAGGGAGAAUGCUCAGUUUCAGGCUGGCCUACAUCUUCUCAUAUAACCUGUUCCAGUUCUGUGGACACACAUGGAUCCUGGCUAAUACCAUCGCCAGGUUCCUCACAUUUGGUCAAGAUGCCUUAGCAGACACAUUUUACUCGGUUGGCUUCAUGAUGAGUCUCUGCCAGCUGCUCUCCAUCCUGGAGCUUUUCCAUAUCGCAGAUGGGAUUGAGAAAGCCAGACUCCUCCCACGCUUCAUCCAAGUUAUGGAGAAGAACUUCCUGCUGAUCGUGGUCAUCAUGCUGGAGGAGAUCCAGAGCAAACCAGUGGUGUGUGCUCAGCUCUUCUUGUGGAACGUUCUGGACCUCGUACGGUACCCACACGAGCUGCUGUGUGCCAUGGACACGCCCUCCAUCCCCAUGCUGUGGACCCGCUACACACUCUGCAUCCCCUUGUACAUCCUGUCAGUGGCCACUGAAGGCGUCACCCUCUACCAGGCGCUGCCGUAUGUGGAGCCAGCAGCAGCGGACUCGUGCUCCCUGAACACCACCGUGUCCCCACGCAUCACCCACCCCCCCUUGGUCCUGAUGGCCUCCCUGCCCGUCCUGGCUCUUGGUGAGCGGACGCUUUGAGGAACAGAGCGGUGCCAAAACAAUCAACAGGCGUUACACAUUCUAUUCAUAGAAGGCGCCUCUGUGACUGUGUGGCAACUGCUGCAGGAGAGACAGCACCACCUGGACAAAUGGAGCAAGAAGAUGAAAAGGAAAUAACACAUUUACCACUGAAUGUUGGGAAG